GGGUUUAAAGGGUCCGUAGGUGGAUAGAUAAGUCAGAGGUGAAAUCCUGCAGCUCAACUGUAGAAUUGCCUUUGAUACUGUUUAUCUUGAGUCAUUAUGAAGUGGUUAGAAUGUGUAGUGUAGCGGUGAAAUGCAUAGAUAUUACACAGAAUACCGAUUGCGAAGGCAGAUCACUAAUAAUGUACUGACACUGAGGGACGAAAGCGUGGGGAGCGAACAGGAUUAGAUACCCUGGUAGUCCACGCCGUAAACGAUGGAUACUAGCUGUUCGGACUUCGGUCUGAGUGGCUAAGCGAAAGUGAUAAGUAUCCCACCUGGGGAGUACGUUCGCAAGAAUGAAACUCAAAGGAAUUGACGGGGGCCCGCGCAAGCGGUGGAGCAUGUGGUUUAAUUCGAUGCAACGCGAAGAACCUUACCUACUCUUGACAUACUAGAAACUUUUCAGAGAUGAAUUGGUGCCUUCGGGAAUCUAGAUACAGGUGCUGCAUGGCU
rnacentral:rRNA from 1 species